rnacentral:lncRNA from 1 species
AUGAAUUCUUUUCUGUCAGGUCAUGACAAAUUCCUUCAUUUGUGGCAUCCUUGUAUUAAUAGCAGACCUACAGGGAAGCUGUCAGGACACCGACACAGUGUUUUAGAAUUGAGACAAAUGAAAAACAUCAGCAUGUUAUCGGCCUUUCUUCUGCAAAGGUUCAACUGUCAUCGAUAUUUAUCCCCUAACUCACAUGAUACAAGAUAUGAAACAGGUUCCACAGACACAUGAGAAAAGCAUCAGUGUUCUGGCUUACAACAGGACUUUUCACCAAGUCCUCACUAUCUGCUCUCAGUCAAUACUGAAGGUGAGUGUAAGUUGUCAUCUGAAAUAGUCUUGGCUACCAACUGAAAUAGUCUCAGGUUGUUGUUUAUUUUGUUUGUUUGUUUAUUAAAAAUAAUUGAUCGGGCACUUAGAUGAGUGAUUAGUGUUUAUUAUUCAAAGUGUUUGUUUUGUGACUAUUCUUAUGCUCAGAUUCUUUUGGGAAGUGGUAGCCAUGAUAAACAGGAUAUAUUUAGUUCAACAGCAUUCUUUUGUCAGAAAACUACUUUGCUGACCGCACUACAAUUGCUAGGCAGAUUGAGCAAGGUUUCAGAGGCUCUGGAUUUAGUUAGAAUUUAUUUCCUUUGGCCACAUUUUGAUUCACUUGUUCUGUGAUGGACAGUGUCAAGAGUAGUGAAAGUCCAUUGGCCACUUAAUAUCUCUAAAGGAAAAUUUAAAAUGCCACGAUGUCAAAAUGUGCAUCCAGUUCAUAAUUCAUGCAAACAUAAUUACACGUUAUUCAGAAGGCAUAUCUGAUGAGCAUCUCCUCAAAUUUAGGAAGUGUUUGAGUCCCAGACAGCUUAGUGGGAUGUAAAAGUACUUUAGACAUUCUAUGGAUUGGUAUAAAACAUAAAAGAGACUUUGUAAAAACAGUACUGGGUAAAAGAUACCACUCUCGGAUAAAAAGAUUCUUUAAUUCUAAAAUUGAAAAGUUCCUCUGGUACAUACAAUGUGGCUAAACUACAGAACCUCAUUUUUUAUCCUUUCAUUCUCCUGUUGUUCUUGUUCUUUUUUUUUUUUUCUGGAUCUGAUUCUUUUUGACUAGCAGUUCUGGAGACAAUUUUCUGACUUCCAUGGAUCCUUUUUUAAAAAAUUUCCUAGAACAUCUUGUUCUGAGCAUUCAGGAUAUCGAGUCAUACAGUGAGGGAAAAGCAUUGAAUAUAAUAGCCAGUUAACAAGAAAAAUAAAGUGAAAGAGAUGUCUCUCGUUUGUUUCUUU